GGAUAACUCCAAGAAAUUGGGGCUAAUACCGGAUAUGACCGCUGACCGCAUGGUCUGGUGGCGGAAAGACUUAUCGGCUGAGGAUGGGCCCGCGGCCUAUCAGCUUGUUGGUGGGGUCACGGCCUACCAAGGCGACGACGGGUAGCCGGCCUGAGAGGGUGACCGGCCACACUGGGACUGAGACACGGCCCAGACUCCUACGGGAGGCAGCAGUGGGGAAUAUUGCACAAUGGGCGAAAGCCUGAUGCAGCGACGCCGCGUGAGGGAUGACGGCCUUCGGGUUGUAAACCUCUUUCAGUAGGGAAGAAGCGAAAGUGACGGUACCUGCAGAAGAAGCACCGGCUAACUACGUGCCAGCAGCCGCGGUAAUACGUAGGGUGCGAGCGUUAUCCGGAAUUAUUGGGCGUAAAGAGCUCGUAGGCGGUUUGUCGCGUCUGUCGUGAGAGUCCGGGGCUUAACCCCGGAUCUGCGGUGGGUACGGGCAGACUAGAGUGCAGUAGGGGAGACUGGAAUUCCUGGUGUAGCGGUGGAAUGCGCAGAUAUCAGGAGGAACACCGAUGGCGAAGGCAGGUCUCUGGGCUGUUACUGACGCUGAGGAGCGAAAGCAUGGGGAGCGAACAGGAUUAGAUACCCUGGUAGUCCAUGC
rnacentral:rRNA from 1 species